GUACCCGUAGCUCAGCUGGAUAGAGCGCUUGCCUCCGGAGCAAGAGGUCGUGGGUUCAAAUCCCCCCGGGUACACCA
rnacentral:tRNA from 1 species